CAGUCGCCACGGUAAUACGUAGGUGGCAAGCGUUGUCCGGAAUUAUUGGGCGUAAAGGGCUCGCAGGCGGUUUCUUAAGUCUGAUGUGAAAGCCCCCGGCUCAACCGGGGAGGGUCAUUGGAAACUGGGAAACUUGAGUGCAGAAGAGGAGAGUGGAAUUCCACGUGUAGCGGUGAAAUGCGUAGAGAUGUGGAGGAACACCAGUGGCGAAGGCGACUCACUGGUCUGUAACUGACGCUGAGGAGCGAAAGCGUGGGGAGCGAACAGGAUUAGAUACCCCAGUAGUCCCUGUCUCUUAUAC
rnacentral:rRNA from 1 species